rnacentral:lncRNA from 1 species
CACUCACUGGUAGCAGAAUUUGUAUUUUCUGCUGUGAGAGAGAGUGAUGCUGGGAAAUACUACUGCACAGCUGACAACAACAGUAGCCUUAUUCCCAGCCAUUCUGUGACCAUCACUGUGAGAAGGGAAAAUUCAUCCACAGACCUGCCUAGAGACAUCUGUUGAUGGAGAUUUAGUCUAUUCAGAGGUCUGGAGUACACAGCAGGGAAAAGAAGAUGCAGGUGAGACACAGGGAGUAACUCUGACCAAAGACUACUUUUGUUGGAGCUGAGAGAAUGGG